rnacentral:lncRNA from 1 species
AAACAGAAGGCAGAGCUGCGAAUCAAAUCCAGGUUUCACCAGAAUUAUGGAACAUUUAUCAACAGCCUAAAAUAAAGACAACACGAGGAGAAUUUGGUUGCUUAUAUAGAUUCAAGGUACAAUCCUGCUGGAUUCUGGGAUUACAGGACUGUAGACAAAAGAGAAAUCAUCAUGGACUGUUCACUGGACAAAAUUUCAUGGAGAGGAGAAGACCUUUGGCGGUUCAUGGAUGUUCUAUAAUAAGUUAGGUAACUAACAGGCUAACUUUCUUGAGCACCUACACUGUGUAGGGCACUGUACUGGUACUUCUCAUACCUUCUCUCAUUCAUAUAAUCCUCUGAGGUAGGUGUUAUCCUCUCUACAGCAGGGAAAAUCAAUACCCAGAGAAGGGGAGAGACGUCCAUGGCACACAGGAGAGGACAGAGCCAAGAAUGAAUAUAGGACACCAGUGCCCCAACUCUUAACCACUACCAUACACGGUUUUAUAAAGUAAAUUUUAAAAGUCGACUUUAAAACAUGUAUGCAACAUUGUGUCCAGUCUCCCAAAACAAAAGAACAAUGAGCGUUCCCUUUUCCCUUGAUGUGUGGGCAGGUCUGUAGAGUAGUACAAGAAGAGAUUAUGUUCUGCAUUCUCACUUCAACAAGAAAGUCCUGGUCCACCAAUAAUACCUUUAAGCUUCAGGAUAAUUGUGAAAAGGCCAACUAGUUAAUCAAACAUUUUCCCAAACUUAAGAAAAACACCAAGAAGGAAUAUAAGUACAGGGGACAUUAGAGGAUAAGCUCAUAAGGGCUGGACUAAAU